CCUACGGGAGGCAGCAGUGAGGAAUAUUGGUCAAUGGCCGCAGGGCUGAACCAGCCAAGUCGCGUGAGGGAUGACGGUCCUAUGGAUUGUAAACCUCUUUUGUCAGGGAGCAAAGGGCGCCACGUGUGGCGUUUUGCGAGUACCUGAAGAAAAAGCAUCGGCGAACUCCGUGCCAGCAGCCGCGGUAAUACGGAGGAGGCGGGCUUUAUCCGGAUUUGUUGGGGUUAAGGGUUGCGAAGGUGGUAUGUAAAGCAAGCGGUAAAAUUUCGGGGCUCAACCCCGUCGUGCCGGUGAAACUGGCGUUCUUGAGUGAGCGAGAGGUAUGCGGAAUGCGUGGUGUAGCGGUGAAAUGCAUAGAUAUCACGCAGAACUCCGAUUGCGAAGGCAGCAUACCGGCGCUCAACUGACGCUCAUGCACGAAGGCGUGGGUAGCGAAAAGGAUUAGAUACCCCUGUAGUC
rnacentral:rRNA from 1 species